rnacentral:rRNA from 1 species
AGUGAACGCUGGCGGUAGGCCUAACACAUGCAAGUCGAACGGCAGCACAGGAGAGCCUGCUCUCUGGGUGGCGAGUGGCGGACGGGUGAGGAAUACAUCGGAAUCUACUCUGUCGUGGGGGAUAACGUAGGGAAACUUACGCUAAUACCGCAUACGACCUACGGGUGAAAGCAGGGGACCUUCGGGCCUUGCGCGAUGCAAUGACCCGAUGUCGGAUUAGUUAGUUGGCGGGGUAAAGGCCCACCAAGGCGACGAUCCGUAGCUGGUCUGAGAGGAUGAUCAGCCACACUGGAACUGAGGCACGGUCCAGAAUCCUACGGGAGGCAGCAGUGGGGAAUAUUGGACAAUGGGCGCAAGCCUGAUCCAGCCAUACCGCGUGGGUGAAGAAGGCCUUCGGGUUGUAAAGCCCUUUUGUUGGGAAAGAAAUCCAGCUGGCUAAUACCCGGUUGGGAUGACGGUACCCAAAGAAUAAGCACCGGCUAACUUCGUGCCAGCAGCCGCCGUAA